GCCCCCAUAGCUCAACUGGAUAGAGCGUCUGACUACGGAUCAGAAGGUUUCAGGUUCGACUCCUGAUGGGGGCGCCA
rnacentral:tRNA from 1 species